GACGAACGCUGGCGACGUGCUUAACACAUGCAAGUCGAACGGAAAGGCCCUGCUUUUGUGGGGUGCUCGAGUGGCGAGCGGGUGAGUAACACGUGAGUAACCUGCCCUUGACUUUGGGAUAACUUCAGGAAACUGGGGCUAAUACCGGAUAGGAGCUCCUGCUGCAUGGUGGGGGUUGGAAAGUUUCGGCGGUUGGGGAUGGACUCGCGGCUUAUCAGCUUGUUGGUGGGGUAGUGGCUUACCAAGGCUUUGACGGGUAGCCGGCCUGAGAGGGUGACCGGCCACAUUGGGACUGAGAUACGGCCCAGACUCCUACGGGAGGCAGCAGUGGGGAAUAUUGCACAAUGGGCGGAAGCCUGAUGCAGCAACGCCGCGUGCGGGAUGACGGCCUUCGGGUUGUAAACCGCUUUCGCCUGUGACGAAGCGUGAGUGACGGUAAUGGGUAAAGAAGCACCGGCUAACUACGUG
rnacentral:rRNA from 1 species